GCGCCGCUAGCUCAAUUGGAUAGAGCAUCGGUCUACGGAACCGAAGGUUUCAGGUUCGAAUCCUGAGCGGCGUA
rnacentral:tRNA from 1 species